GGCUGCAGUCGAGGAUCUUCGGCAAUGGGCGCAAGCCUGACCGAGCGACGCCGCGUGCGGGAUGAAGGCCUUCGGGUUGUAAACCGCCGUCGGAGGGGAGGAAAUGCUAGGGGGUUCUCCCUCUAGUUUGACCUAUCCUCAGAGGAAGUACGGGCUAAGUUCGUGCCAGCAGCCGCGGUAAGACGAACCGUACAAACGUUAUUCGGAAUCACUGGGCUUAAAGGGUGCGUAGGCGGCCCGGAAAGUUGGGUGUGAAAGCCCUCGGCUCAACCGAGGAAUUGCGCCCAAAACUACCGGGCUUGAGGAAGACAGAGGUAAGCGGAACUUAGGGUGGAGCGGUGAAAUGCGUUGAUAUCCUAAGGAACACCAGGAGCGAAAGCGGCUUACUGGGUCUUUUCUGACGCUGAGGCACGAAAGCUAGGGGAGCGAACGGGAUUAGAUACCCCGGUAGUCCUAGCCGUAAACGAUGGGCACUGGGUAGGGGGCUCGCCGAUGGGCUCUCUGCCGUAGCGAAAGCGUGAAGUGCCCCGCCUGGGGAGCAUGGUCGCAAGGCUGAAACUCAAAGGAAUUGACGGGGGCUCACACA
rnacentral:rRNA from 1 species